GACGAACGCUGGCGGCGUGCCUAACACAUGCAAGUCAACUUGACUGAAGGAGCAAUCUGACAGUAGAGUGGCGCAAGGGUGCGUAACGCGUAAGUAACUUGCCCCAAGGUAAGGAAUAACGUCGAGAAAUCGGCGCUAAUACCUCAUAAUGCAGCGGAUCCGCAUGGAUAUGUUGUUAAAGGUUUACCGCCUUGGGAUAGGCUUGCGUCUGAUUAGCUAGUUGGUGUGGUAACGGCACACCAAGGCUACGAUCAGUAACUGGUCUGAGAGGAUGAUCAGUCACACUGGAACUGAGACACGGUCCAGACUCCUACGGGAGGCAGCAGUGAGGAAUAUUGGGCAAUGCUCGAAAGAGUGACCCAGCAACGCCGCGUGGAGGAUGAAGGUAUUCUAUAUCGUAAACUCCUGUGAGAGCAGACGAAAGACAGAUUAUUAAUCUAGAUGACUGUAUGCUCAGAGGAAG
rnacentral:rRNA from 1 species